rnacentral:rRNA from 1 species
GGACUACCAGGGUUUCUAAUCCUGUUUGAUCCCCACGCUUUCGUGCCUCAGCGUCAAUCGCACUUUAGUAAGCUGCCUUCGCAAUCGGUGUUCUGUGACAUAUCUAUGCAUUUCACCGCUACUUGUCACAUUCCGCCUACCUCAGCUGCAUUCAAGCCCAUCAGUAUCAAGGGCACUGCGAUAGUUGAGCUACCGUCUUUCACCCCUGACUUAAUAGGCCGCCUACGCACCCUUUAAACCCAAUAAAUCCGGAUAACGCUCGGAUCCUCCGUAUUACCGCGGCUGCUGGCAC